rnacentral:rRNA from 1 species
AAGCCACGUUUAAUUACGUGCCAGCAGCCGCAGUUAAUAAGUAGGUGGCAAGCUUUAUCUGGAUUUACUGGGCGUAAAGCGAGCGCAGGUUGUUUUUUUAAGUCUGAUGUGACAGCCCUGGGAUUAACCGAGGAAGCGCAUCGGAAACUGGGAAACUUGAGUGCAGAAGAGGACAGUGGAACUCCAUGUGCAGCGGUGAAAUGCGUAGAUAUAUGGAAGAACACCAGUGGCGAAGGCGGCUGUCUGGUCUGUAACUGACGCUGAGGCUCGACAGCAUGGGUAGCGAACAGGAUUAGAUACCCUGGUAGUCCAUGCCGUAAACGAUGAAUGCUAGGUGUUGGAGGGUCUCCGCCCUUCAGUGCCGCAGCUAACGCAUUAAGCAUUCCGCCUGGGGAGUACGACCGCAAGGUUGAAACUCAAAGGAAUUGACGGGGGCCCGCACAAGCGGUGGAGCAUGUGGUUUAAUUCGAAGCAACGCGAAGAACCUUACCAGGUCUUGACAUCUUUUGAUCACCUGAGAGAUCAGGUUUCCCCUUCGGGGGCAAAAUGACAGGUGGUGCAUGGUUGUCGUCAGCUCGUGUCGUGAGAUGUUGGGUUAAGUCCCGCAACGAGCGCAACCCUUAUGACUAGUUGCCAGCAUUUAGUUGGGCACUCUAGUAAGACUGCCGGUGACAAACCGGAGGAAGGUGGGGAUGACGUCAAAUCAUCAUGCCCCUUAUGACCUGGGCUACACACGUGCUACAAUGGAUGGUACAACGAGUUGCGAGACCGCGAGGUCAAGCUAAUCUCUUAAAGCCAUUCUCAGUUCGGACUGUAGGCUGCAACUCGCCUACACGAAGUCGGAAUCGCUAGUAAUCGCGGAUCAGCACGCCGCGGUGAAUACGUUCCCGGGCCUUGUAC